GACGAACCGUGCGAACGUUGUUCGGAAUCACUGGGCUUAAAGGGCGCGUAGGCGGGCGGUCAAGUCUGUGGUGAAAUCCUUCGGCUCAACCGGAGAAUAGCUGGAGAUACUGGCCGUCUCGAGGGGGGUAGGGGCAUGUGGAACUUCCGGUGGAGCGGUGAAAUGCGUAGAGAUCGGAAAGAACACCAACGGCGAAAGCACUCUGCUGGGCCGACACUGACACUGAGAGACGAAAGCUAGGGGAGCGAAUGGG
rnacentral:rRNA from 1 species